UACAGAGGGUGCAAGCGUUGUUCGGAAUUAUUGGGCGUAAAGGGCGCGUAGGCGGUUCGGCAAGUCUCUAGUGAAAUCUCUGGGCUCAACUCAGAGUCUGCAAGGGAAACUGCCGGGCUUGAGUGUGGGAGAGGUGAGUGGAAUUUCCGGUGUAGCGGUGAAAUGCGUAGAUAUCGGAAGGAACACCUGUGGCGAAAGCGGCUCACUGGACCACAACUGACGCUGAUGCACGAAAGCUAGAGGAGCAAACAGG
rnacentral:rRNA from 1 species